rnacentral:misc_RNA from 1 species
GACGAUGAUCUGAUCACGUACGUGAUCGAUGACGUCAGUCGUCGACUACGGUAGCAUCGCUGGAUACGCGCAGCUACCAGAUGACCGGUCCGCAGCGCGAGCAUCGAUAUCGAUGCACGGAGACUUACUGACUGACAGUACGACGAUUCAGAGAUUGGUGCUCGGCCGUUCACAGUUGUGCAUGUCGUCGUCAGCUCGGUCGUGAGAUGUGGUAGUCCGCACGAGCGCACCUCGCCGUGUGCAGCGAUGAUGCCGGGACUCACGGGGACCGCCGGGUACUCCGAAGAAGUGGGGAUGACGUCAGAUCAUCAUGCCCCUUACGUUCAGGGCUUCACGCCUGCUACCAUGGCCCGUACCACGGGAUGCGACAGCCGGAGCCGGAGGCGAUUCCUGAAAACCCGUCUCAAUUCGGAUUGCAGUUCUCCACUUCGCUGCCUGAAGGCGGAGUCGGUAGUAAUCGCGAAUUAGGCACGUCGCGGUGGAUGCCGUUCCGGGGCUUGUACCCCCCGGCCGUCCAGUCCAGGAAGUUGGCAGGCACCGGAACCGGUGGCCUUACCCCCUGCGGGAAGGAACCGUUUAAGGUGAGGCUUGUGAAUGGGGCUAAAUUGUAACCAGGUAACCGUUCCGGAAGGUGCGGCCUGAUCCCCUCCCUUCUUCGGAGAAUUCGGCCGGAAGUUUGUUCGGCGGUGCGUUCCCCGGGGUUGCGGCCGUUGGGGCGGUUUGGGGGUGGUGGUGUGGAAGAGAUCCAGGGCCUUUGGGGGCUUCGUUGGGGGGAGGUUCGGGGGAGGGGGGGGGGUGGGGUUUUUGGCUUCCGGAUUGCCCCCCCCGGCCUUGUGCCUGGCGCGAUUCGAUGCCCAUCGUGCCUGAUGGCGGGCUGGUCCCGUCCGGACGGCGUGGUGGUGCGUGGUGGCUUGAGAACUGGAUAGUGGACGCGAGCAAGACGGGGUUUCCUUUGAUUCCUCGUUCUUGCUGUUGAUUUCGAAUCGAACUCUAUUUUUAGUGUUUGUUUCGAUCGUUUUGUGAUCAUUUUAGUGUGAUGAUUUGUCGUCUGGGAAUUUGCUAGGAAGGAUCCUUGCGGCCAUGCGCACCGUGUGGGCCU